rnacentral:rRNA from 1 species
CCCCUAGAUGUUCUGGGCCGCACGCGCGCUACACUGAACAGUUCAACAAGUCUUAACCUUGGCCGAUAGGUCUGGGUAAUCUUUAAACGCUGUUCGUGAUUGGGAUAGACCUUUGCAAUUAUGGGUCUUGAACGAGGAAUUCCUAGUAAACGCAGAUCAUCAAUCUGCAUUGAUUACGUCCCUGCCCUUUGUACACACCGCCCGUCGCACCUACCGAUUGGAUGGUCCGGUGAAGCCUCGGGAUUGUGGUUCUUGCCGCUUUAUUGUGGCGUGACCGCGAGAACUUGUCUAAACCUUAUCAUCUAGAGGAAGGUGAAGUCGUANCA